UNGAGCCAUGCCAGUUGACAGAAGACUUUGGU
rnacentral:piRNA from 1 species